UAGGAGAUGGUCUGAUAUUGGGAGACACCAUAUGAGACUGGUAUUUUAGUCAUCUUGUGUUGUAUGUAUCUUGUAUUGCUUCCCCAUUUACCAUUAAGGGUGUUGAAUUGUGAUUCAUCUUCUUAUCAUGAGGUAAACUUUAUCUUUACUGAACUACUUGAAGUCCCUAAGCUGACUGGCUGUAUAAGCGGACAUCAGAAUAAAGUGACUACUUAACUGGGACUGUAAUGAUAUCAUGAACUACUUACUAUUGUUCGAGCAGACAAAUGAAGCUUUAUGUGCUGUUGUCAAUGCAGAAUAACGGAGUCUUCGACAUUGCAGGAAACCCAAAUUAUUCCCCUUGUCAUUCCUCUCUUUGCAUGCCCUAGUAUAUUAGCAAUUAAUGUGCAGUCAAGGAACUGCUAACAUCUAGAAUGUGAUGGCCACAGGACUGUAUUUGACUGGGUUCUUGAUCUAUUUGUCUGUAGGGCACUGACUUUGAAGACGAGGAUGAUGAUCAAGCUGAUGAAGAUGACAGCUAAAUUUAUAAUUCAUUGUUGUCUUGUAUUUUUGGCUUCUUAGCAUGUUUCUCUGGCUCAAGUGAAGUAGCAUUUCAGUAGGGCUAGAAUGUG
rnacentral:lncRNA from 1 species